rnacentral:tRNA from 1 species
GACAAUGUAGUUUAAGUUAUGUAAAUGGACGCUCUGCAAGUGUUUGAUGAGGUUUCUCCGUUGUUG